rnacentral:rRNA from 1 species
AACGAACGCUGGCGGCAUGCCUAACACAUGCAAGUCGAACGAGACCUUCGGGUCUAGUGGCGCACGGGUGCGUAACGCGUGGGAACCUGCCCUUAGGUUCGGAAUAACUCCCCGAAAGGGGUGCUAAUACCGGAUAAUGUCUUCGGACCAAAGAUUUAUCGCCUUUGGAUGGGCCCGCGUUGGAUUAGCUAGUUGGUAGGGUAAAAGCCUACCAAGGCGACGAUCCAUAGCUGGUCUGAGAGGAUGAUCAGCCACACUGGGACUGAGACACGGCCCAGACUCCUACGGGAGGCAGCAGUGGGGAAUAUUGGACAAUGGGCGAAAGCCUGAUCCAGCAAUGCCGCGUGAGUGAUGAAGGCCUUAGGGUUGUAAAGCUCUUUUACCCGGAAUGAUAAUGACAGUACCGGGAGAAUAAGCGCCGGCUAACUCCGUG